rnacentral:tRNA from 1 species
GGGGCGUAGCUCAAUGGUAGAGUCCCAGUCUUCCAAACUGGUUGUGCGGGUUCGAUUCCCGUCGCCCC